GUCGUUAAAGCCAAUGAGCGGCAUUGAUCUUGUAAAUCAAUUACUGUUGUUACCAACUUUCGACU
rnacentral:tRNA from 1 species